rnacentral:rRNA from 1 species
UACGGGGGGGGCAAGCGUUGUUCGGAAUUACUGGGCGUAAAGGGCUCGUAGGCGGCCAACUAAGUCCGACGUGAAAUCCCCAGGCUUAACCUGGGAACUGCGUCGGAUACUGGAUGGCUUGAAUUCGGGAGAGGGAUGCAGAAUUCCAGGUGUAGCGGUGAAAUGCGUAGAUAUGCGGAGGAACACCGAUGGCGAAGGCAGCCUCCUGGGAUAACACUGACGCUCAUGCACGAAAGCGUGGGGAGCAAACAGG